CAUAUUACGUUGAAACACCGGUUUCCGUAGGAUCACCGAAGUUAAGCAACACCGAGACUCGUCAGUACCUAGAUGGGUGACCGCUUUGGAAUAGCAGGUGCCGUAA